UACGGGAGGCAGCAGUGGGGAAUAUUGCACAAUGGGCGCAAGCCUGAUGCAGCCAUGCCGCGUGUAUGAAGAAGGCCUUCGGGUUGUAAAGUACUUUCAGUCGUGAGGAAGGUGUUAAGGUUAAUAACCUUAGCAAUUGACGUUAGCGACAGAAGAAGCAUCGGCUAACUCCGUGCCAGCAGCCGCGGUAAUACGGAGGGUGCGAGCGUUAAUCGGAAUUACUGGGUGUAAAGGGCACGCAGGCGGUUAAUUAAGUUGGAUGUGAAAUCCCCGGGCUUAACCUGGGAAUGGCAUUCAAGACUGGUUAGCUAGAGUCUUGUAGAGGGGGUAGAAUCCCAUGUGUAGCGGUGAAAUGCGUAGAGAUGUGGAGGAAUACCGGUGGCGAAGGCGGCCCCUGGACAAAGACUGACGCUCAUGUGCGAAAGCGUGGGGAGCGAAACAGGAUUAGAUACC
rnacentral:rRNA from 1 species